UGUGUGUUAGACGUUGGAAAUUUAUUUUCAGUGUCGCAGCGAAAGCGAUAAACACACCGCCUGGGGAGUACGACCGCAAGGUUAAAACUCAAAUGAAUUGACGGGGACCCGCACAAGUAGUGGAGCAUGUGGUUUAAUUCGAAGAUACGCGCAGAACCUUACCAACACUUGACAUGUUCGUCGCGACUUUAAGAGAUUAAAGUUUUCGGUUCGGCCGGACGAAACACAGGUGCUGCAUGGCUGUCGUCAGCUCGUGUCGUGAGAUGUUGGGUUAAGUCCCGCAACGAGCGCAACCCUCACUUUUAGUUGCCAUCAUUUAGUUGGGCACUCUGAAAGAACUGCCAGUGAUAAGCUGGAGGAAGGUGGGGAUGACGUCAAGUCCUCAUGGCCCUUAUGUGUUGGGCUACACACGUGCUACAAUGGUACUUACAAUGGGAUGCAAAGAGGUGACUCAUAGCUAAUCCCUAAAAUGUACCUCAGUUCGGAUUGUACUCUGUAACUCGAGUGCAUGAAGCUGGAAUUGCUAGUAAUCGCGGAUCAGCGCGCCGCGGUGAAUACGUUCCCGGGUCUUGUACACACCGCCCGUCACACCAUGGAAGUUGGUUACACCUUAAGGCAAAGCUUAUACCUUUGACUACGGUACGAUCAGCAACUGGGGUGAAGUCGUAACAAGGUAACCGUA
rnacentral:rRNA from 1 species